rnacentral:misc_RNA from 1 species
GACUUUGAGAAUGCAGCCUACACAGUGUUCAUUGUCCUCCUGACUCGGGUCAUCCUGACGUACGGUCUGAGCUUUGUGAUCCCGAUAUCUAAGGUUGAUGAAAACAUGAAAACAGCUCACAAUAAAGAUGCAGUCCUCAAUGACAAAUUCUACUUCCGGAAAGAAAUCUUCACAGACUGUACCCCCGAGGAGUUCACCAAGUGUAUGCCCGAGUGCUGCUCAGAGUCCAAAUGUCAGACCAAAACCGAGGACCAGUGUCAAUUAAUGAGCAUCGAUGAAAUCAUCAACGGCAGCGCUGACUUCCCUGGAAUGAUUCCUCUCAUCAACCAAUACCUAAACAGUAUGGAGGAUAUGGAUCUGGACGUGGACACCAGAUGUACGAUAUCCAACUAUCUCAACCUGAUAUCUCACCGAGCCUCAGGUAAGUCGGAGACCACUGCUCGGUGGAUGAGGACAUUUGUGCUGCACCACCAGGACUACAAACAGGACUCGGUGGUGUCUGACCGCAUUAACUACGACCUGAUGCAGGCCUGCAUCGACCGCAGCAAGUGCUGUAUGUCUGCUACCAAGACCAACCUGACGAUUCCCGAGGCCCUCAUCAAGUCGGAGAACUAUCUCAACAAGAAGAACCCGUUCACUUACACCAACACCAUGCGGGAGGACAUGGUCAACGGGGAGUAGGGAGCCACCCUCACUGACCACUCUCCGUCACCGACCACUCAGAUCGGCCAAUCUGUUAAUGCGGGACAUCGGAAUAACUGUAGCAUUGUUAUACACAAAACUGAUAAAUAAUUAAAAAGUGUUGAACUUUUAAUGUAAGAAAUCCUAUUGAUACAAUCCCUGUUCUCUCUAAUGGUGUUGACACAGAAAGGUUUGGUUAGUAGGUAAUUACCACUGAAAUGUCAGUUAUUGGAUCGAAUUUUAAUAUUCUUCAUGAGAGAUCUUUUUAUAUGGAAAUGUCUAUAUUUCAGUGAAAAUUAAAGUAAAUUAUAUGAAUUGAUAAUCUUC